AUGACGUUUCCAGAAGAUCCAUCACACAUUCCUUUUUUCCUAACCAUAUCCUUUUACAACCGUUCCUGGACACAAAAAUCUGGGUUCAGCUUGGCUGGAUGAGCUGCAGACUCAUGGCUGGGACAACAAGACUGAUGCUUUCAUUUUCAUUUGGCCUUUGUCUAAAGGCAACUGGAGCAAGGAGGAGCUGAUGAAAUUGGAAAAGUUUUUCUAUGUAUACUCCAUUGGAUUUUGUCAGGUGUUUCAAGACCAUGUCAGACAUUGGCAGCUUGAAUUGAGGCCAGAGGCCUGGCUGUCCACCGGCCCCAGUCCUGGUCUUGGCCGUCUGCUGCUGGUGUGUCAUGUCUCUGGCUUCUACCCAAAGCCUGUGUGGGUGAUGUGGAUGCGGGGUGAGCAGGAGCAACAGGGCACCCAGCAAGGCAAUGUCCUGCCCAGUGCUGAUGGGACAUGGUAUAUUCAGAUCUUCUUGGAUGUGAAAGCCAGUGACGCAACUGGCCUGUCAUGCCUGGUGAGGCACAGCAGUCUAGGAGGCCAGGACAUUGUUCUCUCCUGGGAGCAGCCCCACUCCAUGGGCUUGGUUCUCCUGGUGGUGUUGGUGCCCCUGGUGCUUCUGGCAGGCCUGGCGUUGUGGCUCUGGAAGCGCUGGAACUGGAGGACCUCAGUGCACUGGCUUCCAUUUGGAGCGACAUCCCAGCGGCUCAGGCUACAGUACUUACCUAAACCCAGCUCAGCGUGCGACCGCCCUUCUGGGACAAACCUGCACCAGUCCCAGUGUGGCGAGACACUCCCCCAGACUACCAGCAUGGGUACCUGA